rnacentral:rRNA from 1 species
GAUGAACGCUGGCGGCGUGCCUAAUACAUGCAAGUCGAGCGAACAGACGAGGAGCUUGCUCCUCUGACGUUAGCGGCGGACGGGUGAGUAACACGUGGAUAACCUACCUAUAAGACUGGGAUAACUUCGGGAAACCGGAGCUAAUACCGGAUAAUAUAUUGAACCGCAUGGUUCAAUAGUGAAAGACGGUUUUGCUGUCACUUAUAGAUGGAUCCGCGCCGCAUUAGCUAGUUGGGAGGGUAACGGCUUACCAAGGCAACGAUGCGUAGCCGACGUCAGAGGGUGAUCGGCCGCACUGGAACUGAGACACGGUCCAUAGUCCUACGGGAGGCAGCAGUAGGGAAUCUUCCGCAGUGGGCGAAAGCUUGACGGAGCAACGCCGCGUGAGUGAUGAAGGUCUUCGGAUCGGAAAACUCUGUUAUUAGGGAAGAACAAAUGUGUAAGUAACUAUGCACGUCUUGACGGUACCUAAUCAGAAAGCCACGGCUAACUACGUG